UGCACCCGCCAGAUUCGGCCGGAAAGGCAGACUGCUUAAGUUUCCCUUUUUUUCCAUACGGUUUGCAUUUACCUGCCUUCGCUCCUGGGUCCUCCUUUAAUCCCGUCCAAAUAUGUACCCUGUGAAGGAAUCGCCAAUUCGCUCAACAGUCGAACUCUAGAGAGCUAUGCUGGGCAGACAUGAAGAGGAAUUAUCUGCUGCCUGACAUGCUGUGGAAAGCCUGGCAGCUCAGGUCACUGAUCUGACCAACCGGUUACACCUCUUGCAGAGCCAACCAUCUUCUCCUGAGCCCAGAAUCAACGAUCCCCCUUGCUACUCGGAUGAGCCUACUGAAUGCCGAGCCUUUUUAACCCAGUGAGAAAGUUUUGUUCUCUCUGCAGCCUUCCACCUCUGUGGAGGACCGCUCUAAGAUUGCCUAUGUGGUUUCUCUCCUCAGUGGACGAGCACGCGGCUGGGGAACAGCCAUCUGAGAGGCUGAGUGUUGCGAGCAGUUUGCUCUGUUUAAGGUGACGAUUAAGGUGUUCGACCGCUCUGUCCACGGGUAUGAGGCCACUCAUUUGCUCGCCAUGCUGUGACAGGGGAGGUGAUCUGUAUCUCACUACGCCAUUGAGUUUUAUUCGCUAGCUGCUACAUGCGAUUUGAAUAAACCGGCUCUGGUUGCGCACUUUUUAGAGGGGCUCAGUGCGAGAUUUACUCCCUUGAAAUUCCUGCCCAUCUGGAUCAGCUGGUGGAGCUGGUAAACUGCCUUGACAAGUGGUUUGAACUUCGUUGCCAUGCUCUGGGUUAUAGUGAUGAUCAAAGAGACAUUUUCCCCGCUGCUGUCACCUCCUCCGAAUCAUUCUUGGGGACUGAGCCAAUGCAACUGGGAAGUCUCCGCAUUUCUUCUGCAGAACGCCAAUGCCGUAUCCAAAAUGGACUUUGUUUGUACUGCGGUGCCGCUGGUCACUUUGCUCCUGCCUGCCUAGUGGAAGCAAGGGCUCGUCAGUAGACAGGGGAGUACUGGUGAGCGUUACAACACUUUCCCCUGCCUCAAAGACUCGCACGUCGCUUGCCGCUCUUCUGCUCUUGGGAAGCUCCUCCUUCUCCUGUACUGCUCUCAUCGACUCUCAUCCACCACGGGCAAUCAUAAAGACACUAUCACCUUUUUUAUUUUUCUGUCUUUUACACUAGCAGUUUUGGGUAGUGCAGCAUAAUCCUCAGAUCAACUGGGCAGAAGGAGGAGCCCGGUGAUUUGUCUGGAGUGCCGGAGGAGUACCACGAUCUGCGGGCGGUGUUUAGUCGUUCCCGGGCUGCUUCUCUCCCUCCUCAUCGACCUUAUGACUGCAGUAUUGAUCUAUUCCCUGGCGCAACUCUGCCGUCCGGGACUCACUUGCCGCUGGUACCAUUGUCCCGUCCUCCUCUCCUGCCGAGAUGAGAUCACUAUAAAGAACUGGUACAUGUUCGCCAUGUGUUGCAGUGUCUUUUGGAGAACCACCUUUUUGUGAAGGCUGAGAAAUGCACAUUUCAUGCCAUGGGGGUCAGCCGGUGGAUGGGAUCAGUAUGGAUCCUGCCAAGAUUCAAGCCAUUAUUGAUCGGCCCAUUCCUGAGUCUCGCAAUGCGCUCCAACGAUUUCUGGGGUUUGCACAUUUUUACCGAAGUUUCAUCUGAAAUGUCAGUCAAGUAGCCACCCCUUUAACCGCUCUCACCUCGACCAAAUCUCGCUUCGUCUGGUUGGAGGCGGCCCAGCUCGCGUAUGAUUGCCUUAAGAGGUUUUUCACCACUGCGCCUAUUCUAAUCACUCCCAACCCCAAGGAGCAAUUCAUUGUGGAGGUGGAUGUGUCCGACAUGGGUGUGGGGGAGGUGCUUUCGUAGCAUUUUUUCUCUACAAGAAGAUUCACCCAUGCACGUUCUUUUCUCACCGGCUCACGCCAUCUGAGCGUAAUUAUAGUCUAGGAAACCGGGAGCUUUUGGCCAUCUGACUGGCUCUGGGAGAGUGGCGGCAGUGGUUAGAGAGGGCUACCAUUCCGUUCAUAGUUUGGAUCGAUCACCGAAAACUCGAUUACAUUCGUUCAGCUAAGAGAUUAAAUGCCUGGCAGGCUCGUUGGUCGCUUUUUUUUUUUUUUAACUUUUAAUUUCACUACAGAUCCGGGUCUAAGAAUGUGAAACCGCAUGCCCUCUCUCGCUAGUUCGGCUUUGAGACCGCGUGGCUGGGACCCUUGUCUGAGGAAUCGUGCGGCUGGUAAAAAGAGUGCUUAACAAUGUCCCUAUACUUCGGCGCUGUCGAAAGGAGGAAUUGUAUGUUCCUGAGUCUGUUCAUCCAGCCAUCGUCCUUUGGGCCACUCCUCAAGGCUGACUGCUCAUCCUGGGGUGAGGGGUACUCUCGAAACGAUUAGUCAGAGAUUUUGGUGGCCCAUGAGGGCACUUGAUGUCCGUCAUUUCGUUACAUCUUCCCCUGUUUGCACCAAAGCCAAAUCUAGUGAUUAUCUGCCCUCUGGUCUGCUCAGGCCCCUUCCUAUUUCUUCUUGUCCGUGGUCCCAUAUUGCCUUAUAUUUUGUCACAGGACUUUCCCCAUCCGCAGGGAACACCGUUAUCCUGACGGUCAUUGACCGCUUUUCUAAGGCGGCUCACUUUGUUGCUCAGUAGUGUUAGUGAGGCCACAAAAAUAGCUUGUUCUUGGAAAUGAAUUCAGGCACGUGUUAGAUGGACAUCCAAAACUUGUUCUUAAAACAUUCUAAUCACUAGAUAAUCAAGAUGUCUGAAUCAAUGAAAUUCAGAGGCCACGAGAAAGAAUGCAGGAAUUAGUUGCUCAAAGUUAAACAUGAAAUUGUGAGUAUACGUCUCCAACAGCAAUAAAUUAACUCAUCAUUAAAAGCUAAUUAAUUUCAGCCCAAAGAAAUCAGUUGCUAUGAGGAGGCUGAGAAUAUAAAAGACUGAUAAGGCAGAGAGUCGACUUGAAGGGAAAAUUUAACAUUAAACAGAAUGCCACGAAAUAAUUAAGAGGGCACAGCAUCCACUCCACAUAUUGAAUACCGGUUUGUAAUGAAACACAUUUCAGUCUGCCAUAUUUAUGUGUAUGAUUAAUGCAUAAUUAUUCCUUUAGCUCUACAGAUUGAGAGGAAUAUGAAGCCAUUCUUUAAGUUAUGCAUUGCAAGAGUAACAUCUAAUUGAUUUCUGCUCUCUUUUCCCAUCCCCAGUGCUGAAUGCUGUUGAAAGCCUUUUCUCACUAUGUAGACAAUUAUUCUCUGAGGUUUGAUGAUUGCAGGUCUGAAGAAACUGAUGGAACAGGAUGUGUUAACAACCUAAAUAAAUGUAUUUU